rnacentral:lncRNA from 1 species
GGGACCCGAAAGGCUAUGUCGGACCAUGAACUAAAUCUGGCAUUAGCGGGGAUGAAAAGAUGAUGAAAACAUACUCGAAAACAUGUUUGGAGAGUCUCGGUUCGAUUUGAAAAGAAUCGGAGGUCAAACGAGCAAAAACGAGCGAAAACGGACCCCGAAAACGAAAAAGGCUGAAAUUUGGCUAAGUCCUAAAAAUGCUGAAAUUCUGGUCCUUCGGGGACCGGUCUCUCACUGCCUGGGACCGGUCCCAGAGCGCGAAAAACACCCAGUUUGAGCUGUUGCAAGGUUGGAGAAGUAGAGGGGCUUAUUUGGAAAUGUUACAAUAUGAGAGGGGAUUAAGAGAGCAUUUUCUCUCUCUCUUUCUCUCAUUUCCCUCACUCCCUCACAUUUCUCUCUCCCUCUCUCUCUCUCUAAACGAAAUAGAAGAAAGGGAAGAAGAGAAAGAAGGAGAAGAAGAAGGAGAAGAAGGUCAAGAAGGUGGAGCUUCACCAUCUUCAUCUUCUUCCUUGGGUUUGGAGUAAGCUUUGGAGAGGUAAGCUUAAGCUCUUUAAUGGUGAUUUCUUAGGGUUGGGUUUUCAUACUCUAAGAAUGGUUUAGAUGGAAUCCUAGCAAGUGUAGUUGAUGUUUAAUACUUGAAUCCAAAGCUUUAAUGGGGGAUUUUCCAUAGUUGCAAUAUAGGGCUCCAAAUGAGGGCUUUAAUGGUAGAUUACUAGAGCUUGGGUUUUAA